AUUGAACGCUGGCGGAAUGCUUUACACAUGCAAGUCGAACGGUAGAGGGGGCAACCCCUUGAGAGUGGCGAACGGGUGAGUAAUAUAUCGGAACGUGCCCAGUCGUGGGGAUAACGUAGCGAAAGUUACGCUAAUACCGCAUACGAUCUAAGGAUGAAAGCGGGGGAUCGCAAGACCUCGCGCGAUUGGAGCGGCCGAUAUCAGAUUAGGUAGUUGGUGAGGUAAAGGCUCACCAAGCCAACGAUCUGUAGCUGGUCUGAGAGGACGACCAGCCACACUGGAACUGAGACACGGUCCAGACUCCUACGGGAGGCAGCAGUGGGGGAAUUUUGGACAAUGGACGCAAGUCUGAUCCAGCCAUUCCGCGUGCAGGAUGAAGGCCCUCGGGUUGUAAACUGCUUUUGUACGGAACGAAAGGUUUCUAUUAAUACUAGGAGCUCAUGACGGUACCGUAAGAAUAAGCACCGGCUAACUACGUG
rnacentral:rRNA from 1 species